UACGUAGGGUGCAAGCGUUGUCCGGAAUUAUUGGGCGUAAAGAGCUCGUAGGCGGUUUGUCGCGUCUGCUGUGAAAACGCGAGGCUCAACCUCGCGCCUGCAGUGGGUACGGGCAGACUAGAGUGCGGUAGGGGAGAUUGGAAUUCCUGGUGUAGCGGUGGAAUGCGCAGAUAUCAGGAGGAACACCGGUGGCGAAGGCGGGACUCUGGGCCGAUACUGACGCUGAGGAGCGAAAGCGUGGGGAGCAAACAGG
rnacentral:rRNA from 1 species